GAUGAGCAUGCGUCCCAUUAGCUUGUUGGUAAGGUAACGGCUUACCAAGGCAACGAUGGGUAGGGGUCCUGAGAGGGAGAUCCCCCACACUGGUACUGAGACACGGACCAGACUCCUACGGGAGGCAGCAGUGAGGAAUAUUGGUCAAUGGGCGCAAGCCUGAACCAGCCAUGCCGCGUGCAGGAUGAAGCAUCUAUGGUGUGUAAACUGCUUUUGUACGAGAAGAAACACUCCUUCGUGAAGGAGCUUGACGGUAUCGUAAGAAUAAGGACCGGCUAACUCCAUGCCAGCAGCCGCGGUAAUACGGAGGGUCCAAGCGUUAUCCGGAAUCAUUGGGUUUAAAGGGUCCGUAGGCGGUUUUGUAAGUCAGUGGUGAAAGCCCAUCGCUCAACGGUGGAACGGCCAUUGAUACUGCAAGACUUGAAUUAU
rnacentral:rRNA from 1 species